rnacentral:piRNA from 1 species
UUUUCAGGGAUUUGUCAUUGC